AGCAGCGUAGCUCAGUGGAAAGAGCACAGGCUUGGGAGUCAGAGGUCAUGGGUUCAAAUCCCACCUCUGCCA
rnacentral:tRNA from 1 species